GAAAACAUUUAAAAUGACAUGGAAACAAUUGUUCAAAUCAUGGUGCAUGGAGGAAAAGGGAAAGAAAACCACUUUUGGCUUGUUUUGGCAUGAGACCUUGAGACAGUUGGGGUUCCCCAAAACCAUGUGAAGGGUGGUCAAAUUGAAAUGAUCCAAACAGACUUAAAAAAAUAAACAGGCUUUACUUCCCCUCCCCCCAAAGGAAAAACACAACCCUCUUUGUGAUGAACCCAGCCACUUCUCGACAUGGUCUGCACGUACAGUAGAUACAUUCACUAUUGUCCACGGGAAGACAGCGCUGCCUUGCGUGUUAAAGAGCUUGGUGGAGAGGCUGAAAAAAGAUGCUACCACUGAAGGCUGCAGUGGAAGAGAUGGAGAUGAGGUGCUCUAGAGAGUAUAAAUCUAGUCAACAGCCUGGCCCUCUGAGAAGAAUUCUAAAAAGAUGCUGGGUGACUUGACUACCAAGACCCUAGAAUUGAAGAUCAGGCUCUUGGACAACUGCAGAGAAAAGGAAUAAACAAGUAUUUCCUCCAACCAAAGAAGCCCAUGUGAGCCAAAGAACACAGACAGCUAACCCUUCCAUCCUGUAGCAUCAGGUUGCAGUAUAGAUGAGGCUUCCAUGGCUUGGAGAUACUGUGCCACAAUCUCCCAGGACAAGAGGUAUCUGUGGGAGUGGGGGGCUGGCUUUAGGGGUUGCUAGUAUGGACAAGAUGUAGGAGAAAGCAACAUUUUCGACAUGCCAAGCUAAGACCAAUGCACUGUCUGACCUUCCCCUGGUAGAAGUCAUCUUGUUUGUGUUCUGAGAAGAGAAAGUGGGUAACAUUUUCUCCAAGAAUCCAAGAAUUAUAAGAACAGAUGAAGAAUAAAGUACACAUGAUUAUCAA